rnacentral:tRNA from 1 species
GGGGGUAUAGCUCAGUGAUAGAGCAUGUGCUUGGCAUGUACGAGGUCCUGGGUUCAAUCCUCAGUGCUUCAA